rnacentral:lncRNA from 1 species
CAAAGUAAGAUUUACAAAUAAGUCAACAUGACCGAAAUGGUCAAUUGACCCCCUUAGGAGUUAUUGUUCUUUAUAGUCAAUUUUUAACAAUUUUCAUAAAAUUUGUAAAUUUUUACUAACAUUUUCCACUGAAACUAAUGGGCCAAGUUCAUUAUAGAUAGAAAUAAUUUUAAGCAGCAAGAAUGUUCAGUAAAGUAAGAUGUACAAACACAUCACCAUCACCAAAACACAAUUUUGUCAUGAAUCCAUCUGCUUCCUUUAAUAUUCACAUAGACCAAGGUGAGCGACACAGGCUCUUUAGAGCCUCUAGUUUCAAA